rnacentral:ncRNA from 1 species
UGAAAAACUAUGAUGGGAAGAGUAGUAAAUUGGAGUGUCUAAAAGAGAGCAGGGUUAGGUGAAAGCCUGUGACAGGAAAAUUUAUGAACAUGGCCCCGGAGUUGACUGCUUGAAACUUUUUUAAAAGUAGGGCAGUACGGUAACAGCCGUUAACUGUAAGGUGAUAAAAGCCUGGUCUUGCACAAGGUGGAGUCACUUAGUGAGUUAUCUGUGGCGACGCAGAUAUGAAUUAGAGUGGUAACGCGUAUAUUACGCCUCUAUG